rnacentral:rRNA from 1 species
GCCAGCGAGUAAUGUCGGGAACUCAAAGGAGACUGCCGGUGAUAAACCGGAGGAAGGUGGGGAUGACGUCAAGUCAUCAUGGCCCUUACGAGUAGGGCUACACACGUGCUACAAUGGCAUAUACAAAGAGAAGCGAACUCGCGAGAGCAAGCGGACCUCAUAAAGUAUGUCGUAGUCCCGGAUUGGAGUCUGCAACUCGACUCCAUGAAGUCGGAAUCGCUAGUAAUCGUAGAUCAGAAUGCUACGGUGAAUACGUUCCCGGGCCUU